AUGUCAAAGAGGAAUAUUAAAUGUGGCAAGACUUUGGGGAGUAGCUCUCAGGUUUGGUCUACAAACACAUCAGUGGCUUCAAGCAAUCUCAAAGACUUUGAGAGCACUAGUGGAGGAACUAUGGUUUGCAAAUUUCCAGGAGGAGGAAGGAGCUUACCAACUUUUCCAUCUGGUCCUGUGACCUGGGUUAAUACUCUUUUGGAAAUUAUGUGCAGGGAAGUGCCUACCAAAAUAAAUGGAAGACAGACAAGUUUCUCUGUACUUGCUCAUUUCUAGCACACAUUGCUCUUGGCUGACUUUUUAACAGUGAGAGAAGGCAGUCAUUGAUGCCGUGUGUACACCUCAUGUUCAAGGAAUACCAGGGGUAGCAGUUAAUCCACUAAAUGUGACAUUAGACUGAAGAAGACACAGUGGUUUUUAGGGGCAAAAGAUCAUUGUUCAUUGCUUAUUGUCCA
rnacentral:lncRNA from 1 species